rnacentral:rRNA from 1 species
UCAAGCGAACAAGUGCAUGUGGUGGAUGCCUUGGCGAUCACAGGCGAUGAAGGACGCGGUAGCCUGCGAAAAGCUACGGGGAGCUGGCAAACAAGCUUUGAUCCGUAGAUGUCCGAAUGGGGAAACCCACUCCUUUUGGAGUAUCCAUGGCUGAAUACAUAGGCCAUGUGAAGCGAACGCGGUGAACUGAAACAUCUAAGUAACCGCAGGAAAAGAAAUCAACCGAGAUUCCCAAAGUAGUGGCGAGCGAAAUGGGAUGAGCCUUGCACUCUUUAUUUGUAUUGUUAGCCGAACGCUCUGGAAAGUGCGGCCAUAGCAGGUGAUAGCCCUGUAGGCGAAAACAGUAUGAAAGAACUAGGUGUGCGACAAGUAGGGCGGGACACGUGAAAUCCUGUCUGAAGAUGGGGGGACCAUCCUCCAAGGCUAAAUACUCGUGAUCGACCGAUAGUGAACCAGUACCGUGAGGGAAAGGCGAAAAGAACCCCGGGAGGGGAGUGAAAUAGAUCCUGAAACCGCAUGCAUACAAACAGUCGGAGCCUCGCAAGGGGUGACGGCGUACCUUUUGUAUAAUGGGUCAGCGACUUACGUUCAGUAGCAAGCUUAACCGUAUAGGGCAGGCGUAGCGAAAGCGAGUCCGAAUAGGGCGUUCAGUUGCUGGGCGUAGACCCGAAACCAGGUGAUCUAUCCAUGGCCAGGAUGAAGGUGCGGUAACACGUACUGGAGGUCCGAACCCACUAACGUUGAAAAGUUAGGGGAUGAGCUGUGGAUAGGGGUGAAAGGCUAAACAAACCUGGAAAUAGCUGGUUCUCUCCGAAAACUAUUUAGGUAGUGCCUCGUGUCUCACCUUCGGGGGUAGAGCACUGUCAUGGUUGGGGGGUCUAUUGCAGAUUACCCCGCCAUAGCAAACUCCGAAUACCGAAGAGUGCAAUCACGGGAGACAGACAUCGGGUGCUAACGUCCGGUGUCAAGAGGGAAACAACCCAGACCGCCAGCUAAGGUCCCCAAAUAUAGCUAAGUGGGAAACGAAGUGGGAAGGCUAAAACAGUCAGGAGGUUGGCUUAGAAGCAGCCACCCUUUAAAGAAAGCGUAAUAGCUCACUGAUCGAGUCGUCCUGCGCGGAAGAUGUAACGGGGCUAAGCUAUAUACCGAAGCUGCGGAUGCGUGCUUGCACGCAUGGUAGGAGAGCGUUCCGUAAGCCUGCGAAGGUGCCUUGUAAAGGGUGCUGGAGGUAUCGGAAGUGCGAAUGCUGACAUGAGUAGCGAUAAAGGGGGUGAAAGGCCCCCUCGCCGUAAGCCCAAGGUUUCCUACGCAACGUUCAUCGGCGUAGGGUGAGUCGGCCCCUAAGGCGAGGCAGAAAUGCGUAGCUGAUGGGAAGCAGGUCAAUAUUCCUGCACCAUUGUUAGAUGCGAUGGGGGGACGGAUCGCGGAAGGUUGUCCGGGUGUUGGAAGUCCCGGUCGCUGCAUUGGAGAAGGCGCUUAGGCAAAUCCGGGCGCGUAAUUCAAGGGUGUGGCGCGAGCUCCUUAGGGAGCGAAGCAAUUGGAAGUGGUUCCAAGAAAAGCCUCUAAGCUUCAGUCUAACGAUGACCGUACCGCAAACCGACACAGGUGGGCGAGAUGAGUAUUCUAAGGCGCUUGAGAGAACUCGGGAGAAGGAACUCGGCAAAUUGGUACCGUAACUUCGGGAUAAGGUACGCCCUUGUAGCUUGACCAGCCUGCGCUGGAAGGGUGAAGGGGUUGCAAUAAACUGGUGGCUGCGACUGUUUAAUAAAAACACAGCACUCUGCAAACACGAAAGUGGACGUAUAGGGUGUGACGCCUGCCCGGUGCCGGAAGAUUAAAUGAUGGGGUGCAAGCUCUUGAUUGAAGUCCCGGUAAACGGCGGCCGUAACUAUAACGGUCCUAAGGUAGCGAAAUUCCUUGUCGGGUAAGUUCCGACCUGCACGAAUGGCGUAACGAUGGCCACACUGUCUCCUCCCGAGACUCAGCGAAGUUGAAGUGUUUGUGAUGAUGCAAUCUACCCGCGGCUAGACGGAAAGACCCCAUGAACCUUUACUGUAGCUUUGCAUUGGACUUUGAACCGAUCUGUGUAGGAUAGGUGGGAGGCUAUGAAACCGGAACGCUAGUUUCGGUGGAGCCGUCCUUGAAAUACCACCCUGGUUUGUUUGAGGUUCUAACCUUGGCCCGUGAUCCGGGUCGGGGACAGUGCAUGGUAGGCAGUUUGACUGGGGCGGUCUCCUCCCAAAGCGUAACGGAGGAGUACGAAGGUACGCUAGGUACGGUCGGAAAUCGUGCUGAUAGUGCAAUGGCAUAAGCGUGCUUAACUGCGAGACCGACAAGUCGAGCAGGUGCGAAAGCAGGUCAUAGUGAUCCGGUGGUUCUGUAUGGAAGGGCCAUCGCUCAACGGAUAAAAGGUACUCUGGGGAUAACAGGCUGAUACCGCCCAAGAGUUCAUAUCGACGGCGGUGUUUGGCACCUCGAUGUCGGCUCAUCUCAUCCUGGGGCUGUAGCCGGUCCCAAGGGUAUGGCUGUUCGCCAUUUAAAGAGGUACGUGAGCUGGGUUUAAAACGUCGUGAGACAGUUUGGUCCCUAUCUGCCGUGGGCGUUGGAUAUUUGAAGGGGGCUGCUCCUAGUACGAGAGGACCGGAGUGGACGAACCUCUGGUGUACCGGUUGUCACGCCAGUGGCAUCGCCGGGUAGCUAUGUUCGGAAGAGAUAACCGCUGAAAGCAUCUAAGCGGGAAACUCGCCUUAAGAUGAGAUAUCCCUGGGGACUAGAUCCCCUUGAAGGGUCGUUCGAGACCAGGACGUUGAUAGGUCAGGUGUGUAAGCGCAGUAAUGCGUUCAGCUAACUGAUACUAAUUGCCCGUAAGGCUUGAUCCU